rnacentral:rRNA from 1 species
GAUGAACGCUGGCGGCGUGCCUAAUACAUGCAAGUCGAGCGAACAGACGAGGGGCUUGCUCCUCUGACGUUAGCGGCGGACGGGUGAGUAACACGUGGAUAACCUACCUAUAAGACUGGGAUAACUUCGGGAAACCGGAGCUAAUACCGGAUAAUAUAUUGAACCGCAUGGUUCAAUAGUGAAAGACGGUUUUGCUGUCACUUAUAGAUGGAUCCGCGCCGCAUUAGCUAGUUGGUAAGGUAACGGCUUACCAAGGCAACGAUGCGUAGCCGACCUGAGAGGGUGAUCGGCCACACUGGAACUGAGACACGGUCCAGACUCCUACGGGAGGCAGCAGUAGGGAAUCUUCCGCAAUGGGCGAAAGCCUGCCGGAGCAACGCCGCGUGAGUGAUGAAGGUCUUCGGAUCGUAAAACUCUGUUAUUAGGGAAGAACAAAUGUGUAAGUAACUAUGCACGUCUUGACGGUACCUAAUCAGAAAGCCACGGCUAACUACGUG